UACGUAGGUCCCGAGCGUUGUCCGGAUUUAUUGGGCGUAAAGCGAGCGCAGGUGGUUUAUUAAGUCUGGUGUAAAAGGCAGUGGCUCAACCAUUGUAUGCAUUGGAAACUGGUAGACUUGAGUGCAGGAGAGGAGAGCGGAAUUCCUAGUGUAGCGGUGAAAUGCGUAGAUAUUAGGAGGAACACCAGUGGCGAAGGCGGCCUGCUGGGCUUUAACUGACGCUGAGGCUCGAAAGCGUGGGUAGCAAACAGG
rnacentral:rRNA from 1 species